UACGGAGGGAGCUAGCGUUGUUCGGAAUUACUGGGCGUAAAGCGUGCGUAGACGGCUAUCUAAGUCGGGUGUGAAAGCCCCGGGCUCAACCUGGGAAUUGCAUUCGAGACUGAAUAGCUAGGGUACGGUAGAGGGAAGUGGAAUUUCCGGUGUAGCGGUGAAAUGCGUAGAUAUCGGAAGGAACAUCAGUGGCGAAAGCGACUUCCUGGACCAGUACCGACGUUCAGGCACGAAAGCGUGGGGAGCAAACAGG
rnacentral:rRNA from 1 species